GGGGUGGUGGGUGUGAGGCGCAUGCCCGCCAGGGGCACCUGCUUCCGGCCCCGGUUGCGCCUGCGUCUUCCCUGAGGGGUCGCUCCCGUCCGUUGGCCCGAGUUCUCCCUUCCGCGUUCCUACUGCUGUUUCUCUCAUCCCAAAGUCUCUGUCCUGGACAUCAGGGUAAUGGCAUGGAAUUAUCUCUAAAAUAUACAAAAGAAUGAAUAAAAAAAAACAAACUCCAAGAUGUAGAAAUGCGUCUUCGGUCCUGUAUCACUUAAUGACAGAGAUACUUUCUGAGAAAUGCAUCUUAGAUGAUUGCAGGAUUAAAGGAUCUUGCUGUGUGGUUCAGGCUGGCCUUGAACUC